UACGGGGGGGGCAAGCGUUGUUCGGAAUUACUGGGCGUAAAGGGCUCGUAGGUGGCCAACUAAGUCAGACGUGAAAUCCCUCGGCUUAACCGGGGAACUGCGUCUGAUACUGGAUGGCUUGAGUUCGGGAGAGGGAUGCGGAAUUCCAGGUGUAGCGGUGAAAUGCGUAGAUAUCAGGAAGAACACCCGUGGCGAAGGCGGCUCUCUGGGACGUGACUGACGCUGAGACGCGAAAGCGUGGGGAGCGAACAGG
rnacentral:rRNA from 1 species